CAGUCGCCGCGGGAAUACGGAGGGAGCUAGCGUUGUUCGGAAUUACUGGGCGUAAAGCGCACGUAGGCGGAUAUUUCAGUCAGGGGUGAAAUCCCAGAGCUCAACUCUGGAACUGCCUUUGAUACUGGGUAUCUUGAGUAUGGAAGAGGUUAGUGGAAUUGCGAGUGUAGAGGUGAAAUUCGUAGAUAUUCGCAGGAACACCAGUGGCGAAGGCGACUAACUGGUCCAUAACUGACGCUGAGGUGCGAAAGCGUGGGGAGCAAACAGGAUUAGAUACCCCCGUAGUCCCUGUCUCUUAUAC
rnacentral:rRNA from 1 species